rnacentral:rRNA from 1 species
GGUUAAGCGACUAAGCGUACACGGUGGAUGCCCUGGCAGUCAGAGGCGAUGAAGGGCGUGCUAAUCUGCGAUAAGCGCCGGUAAGGUGAUAUGAACCGUUAUAACCGGCGAUACCCGAAUGGGGAAACCCAGUGUGAUUCGUCACACUAUCAUUAACUGAAUCCAUAGGUUAAUGAGGCGAACCGGGGGAACUGAAACAUCUAAGUACCCCGAGGAAAAGAAAUCAACCGAGAUUCCCCCAGUAGCGGCGAGCGAACGGGGAGGAGCCCAGAGCCUGAAUCAGCAUGUGUGUUAGUGGAAGCGUCUGGAAAGGCGCGCGAUACAGGGUGACAGCCCCGUACACAAAAGCGCAUGUGCUGUGAGCUCGAUGAGUAGGGCGGGACACGUGGUAUCCUGUCUGAAUAUGGGGGGACCAUCCUCCAAGGCUAAAUACUCCUGACUGACCGAUAGUGAACCAGUACCGUGAGGGAAAGGCGAAAAGAACCCCGGCGAGGGGAGUGAAAAAGAACCUGAAACCGUGUACGUACAAGCAGUGGGAGCCCCACCACCAAAGCAUUCUCUGGUGUUGAAGGCCCUGCAAAGCAGCAUCGCGGUGGCGGAGCGUCGUUUGCGACGCCCAACACACAAAACAAGCGGUGAGUGCUUUGGGGUGGGGUGACUGCGUACCUUUUGUAUAAUGGGUCAGCGACUUAUAUUCUGUAGCAAGGUUAACCGAAUAGGGGAGCCGGAGGGAAACCGAGUCUUAAUUGGGCGUUAAGUUGCAGGGUAUAGACCCGAAACCCGGUGAUCUAGCCAUGGGCAGGUUGAAGGUUGGGUAACACUAACUGGAGGACCGAACCGACUAAUGUUGAAAAAUUAGCGGAUGACCUGUGGCUGGGGGUGAAAGGCCAAUCAAACCGGGAGAUAGCUGGUUCUCCCCGAAAGCUAUUUAGGUAGCGCCUCGUGAAUUCAUCUCCGGGGGUAGAGCACUGUUUCGGCUAGGGGGCCAUCCCGGCUUACCAACCCGAUGCAAACUGCGAAUACCGGAGAAUGUUAUCACGGGAGACACACGGCGGGUGCUAACGUCCGUCGUGAAGAGGGCAACAACCCAGACCGCCAGCUAAGGUCCCAAAGUCAUGGUUAAGUGGGAAACGAUGUGGGAAGGCCCAGACAGCCAGGAUGUUGGCUUAGAAGCAGCCAUCAUUUAAAGAAAGCGUAAUAGCUCACUGGUCGAGUCGGCCUGCGCGGAAGAUGUAACGGGGCUAAACCAUGCACCGAAGCUGCGGCAGCGAACGUAUCACUUAAAGCGAUUCAGCGGAUGACGAUUGACGGAGCGAAGCGACGUCAAAGCGUAUACAAAGUCGAGUCGGUUUAAGGAUACGUU